rnacentral:rRNA from 1 species
CGCAUCUGUGCAUGCAGCAUAUCAAUAAGCGGAGGAAAAGAAACUAACAAGGAUUCCCCUAGUAACGGCGAGUGAAGCGGGAAGAGCUCAAAUUUGAAAUCUUAAAGGGUUUCCCUUUACGAAUUGUAGUUUAGAGAAGUGUUUUCUGUUGAGGUUUUGGUAAAAGUUCUUUGGAAUAGGACAUCAUAGAGGGUGAGGAAUCCCGUAUUUGACCAUUACUUUCAACUUUGUGAUACACUUUCAAAGAGUCGGAUUGUUUGGGAAUGCAGUCCAAAAUGGGUGGUAAAUUUCAUCUAAAGCUAAAUAUUGGCGAGAGACCGAUAGCGAACAAGUACCGUGAGGGAAAGAUGAAAAGAACUUUGAAAAGAGAGUUAAACAGUACGUGAAAUUGUCAAAAGGGAAGCGUUCGACACCAGUGUUGUUUUUCUGAAAAUCAAUUAAAGAACUGUUUAUGCUAAGUUGUUUAGACUUUAUCAGCUAACUGUUUAGUUUUGAGCUUUCUUUAAUGCACUUUUCAGUUAACAAGUCAACAUCAAUUUCUUUUGCUGUAAAAAAGCUUGAGGAAGGUGGCUUGAGAUUCGUCUUAAGUGUUUAUAGCCUCUUGCCUAUGCAGUCGGAGAGAUUGAGGUCUGCAGCGUAGACUCUUCGGGGUUAGAUACAUUUGUGCUAAGUUAUAGCUUUUUAUAGACAACUUGUUGACUAUAAUUAGUCUUGUAGCUUACUCGCUUAUGUUAUUUUACCUACGCUUAGGAUGUUGAGAUUAGCAUCACACGCAGUGUACCACUGCAUAUCAAUAAGCGGAGGAAAAGGGGCAGUGGCUUGACCAUAUCUCGGGAAAGAAGUCAUGGUCGUACCUACGCUUAGGAUGUUGAAGAUGUAGCACAUCAU